rnacentral:lncRNA from 1 species
UGGCAGGUGAAAUAUUUGCUUUUGAUGUCCCAGAAGCGGUCGCCAUAGUCAAACCUGUCAGAGGAAAACAGGAGCUUGUGGGACCUGGACCCAGCCACCAAGAGCCCACCCCGAAGACCCUGUGGAUCCUGCUCCCUGAGAGGGACCCGACACCCAACCUAUCUUCUCCAGAUGGGAUCUGAGCCCCUUGUAUGUUCUAUGGACUUUCAGCAUCAGCAUUGCCUGGGGACUUUUUAGAAAUGCAGAAUCCUGGGCCCCAUCCCAAGCCUACUGAUUCAAAAUCUCUCUGGGAGGCACAGGACUGUUUCCCCAAGUCCUCCAGGAAAUACUUAUGUACACUGAAAUCUGAGAAGCUCUGCACUACUCCAUGCCUGGACACCAGGUACAUGCCAGCCUUCAGGUCCCAGGUUUGCUGCAUCUCCCACCCCCUGGCAGAGCCCCUAGAGACCCCUAGAGUCUCACCCUAGCUCCUCCCCAGUCCGGAUGUCUCGGGAACUGAAGAAGGCGAUGCGUGGAAAUCGCAGGUCUUGGUGCAGCAUGAAGACCCGGACGGGAAUGAUGUUGGGGUCACACAGGUGGUUGAUGAAGCGGCUGAUGUUGCCAUAGUAACGGGCAUCUAUGCAGUACACCUCUCCAUCCUGGGGCAGGGGGAUGGCACUCUUCACAUCUCCCCCGACCCUGCUUGCCCUCCCCACCCACUGACUCCCCAGUCCCUCCUCCCCAGGUUUCCAUUUGCUGACUUCCCAGAGGCUCCUGAAAGCCAGCCCUGGGGAGCAGCAGGGUAAGGAGGGUCUCCUGCUCACCUUGUUGUCUAAGUCGAAGAGGUAAGAAUCAUCCUCUCUCACAUCAGCCUCAGCAUCAGAGAUCAGCUCCCCGACAUACCUGUGGGACAGGAAUCCAUGGUUCUGAAGGUGAGUGUGGGCUAUUAGGAGGUGGCUCCAGGCCCCAUCUCUCUUCACAAGCCUGUGGAAUCUGGAAUGGGCAGGGCUGGCAGGUGUGGGGAAGGGAAGGCCUGGAGCAGCAGUGGUGGGCAAGUGAAAGGGCAGCAUUCCAGCCUUGACAGAGGAAGCCUUCAGUCAGCACAGAGACAGACAACAAGCUCUGUGGUUAAGGGGAUUAAUGUGUAGGGGCAGUUGGCCUGGGUGGGGAAGUUCGGGUUUGGACACAGAGAGGUUUGUGUUCCAGGAGCCACCCGGCAGGAAUGGGCGAUAUGGAACAGGAGAGGGGCCAGGACUGCAGGAAGAGCCAGAGGUACAGGAGUGGCAAGGAACUCAAGGCAUGAUUCGGGGCAAGAGCACCCACACAUAUCUGGACACCAGAGGGAGGAGAGGAGCCAGCUAUCUAAGGAGGGUGAGCAGACAUGGGAGAUUCAGACACACGGAGAGGACGUGGGUGGGAAGUGACUGUCAAGAGACAGCUUCAGCAGAGUGGGAAGGGCAAAGGCCGAUUUUGGCAGGGACAGGCAGUGAGUGGAUGGUGGGGAAACUGAGGCCCAGCAGGAAGGGGCUGCUUGCCAGAGAAGUUGAGAGAUGACAUGAUGGAAAGAAACUGGAUGGUCUGUUGAACAGGCAAGUAUGGUUAGAGGACUAUCUUUUUUAAAGGCCAAAGAAUGGUCAGGCACGGUGGCUCACGCCUGUAAUCCCAGCACUUUGGGAGGCCGAGGUGGGCGGAUCAUCUGAGGUCAGGAGUUGGAGACCAGCCUGGCUAACAUGGUGAAACUCCGUUUCUACUAAAAAUACAAAAAAUUAGCCGGGUGUGGUGGUGCGCACCUGUAAUCCCAGCUACUUGGGAGGCUGAGGCAGGAGAAUCGCUUGAACCUGGGAGGUGGAGACUGCAGUGAGCCAAGAUUGUGCCAUUGCACUCCAGCUUGGGCAACAAGAGUGAAACUCCGUCUCAAAAAAUAAAUUAAAAAAAAAAAAAAAAAAGAGCCAAAGGAGACUAAAGUAAGAUUGAGGGUUGUGGGAUGGCAGCCAAGAGAAAGGGGGAGAUUACAGAUGCUGGGCAGAGAAAGAACUGAUGGAGAGGGACAGGCCCCUGAGGAGGUGGACAGAUAGGUAGCUGUUAUCACCUCCACUCUACAGACAAGAAAAAUAAGGCUCAAAGAGGUUAAGUAACUUGGCCAAGAACAUCCAGAAGCAGAGAGGGGCUCAAACCCAAGUCUGUUUGUCUCCCAAACUGGCACUUUCUCCAGCUAGGAAGGGCGAGGAGGGGGUGGAGGGGAAGGUAGAGGGUGGAGGUGGAGGGGAGGGAAGACAAGCUCUGUGGUCUGGGCAGAGUGGAGGCAGGUGCCAUUCUCAGCUGGGGGGAUGGGGGUCAGAGGCGGCUGGCUGCUCAGCUGCAGGAAUAGGGGUCAGAGGAGGCUGGCUGGAGAGUGGCCAGAUGGAGACAUGUGACUCAUCAGGGCAGAUGGCUGAGAGGGAGGCCUGGCAGUCAGCAGUGGCCAUGUAUCCCCUUCCCACCAGGUGUUAAGGUGCUCCCGGUGACUUACUCGCAGAUGAAGGUCCCCUGUGGGAUGGUCUGCAGGGCGCGGACCCCCCAGCCCAUCUUGGCUGUUCGGUAGAGCUGUAGCCGCACCCUGGGGGUAGGAGAGAUGGCGCUGUUGGGUGGAGGCCCUGGAAAAGCCCCAGGGGCAGGGAGGAAAGGGUGAGGUGGGGAGAGGGUGGGCUGUGGAGCAGGGCCUCACUUGAUGCCACUCUGUACGACCCGGUUCUUGCAGUUUCUCCAGCAUGAGCACGCCUGGUUACACUCGAAAAUCAGCGGAGGCUCAAUCUUGUUAAAUUCCUGGAGCAAUCGCCCAUCCUAGGGUGCGGAGGGGAGGAUAGUGGUUUCUCUGUGGGGCCCACCUCAGCUGCCCACCCAGGAACCCCAAGACUCUACAGAGACAGGGAAGUUGGGGUUGGGGAGGUCACACAGGCUCUGAGAUCCGAGAGCACGAAAUGCAGGAGCAUCAUCCCUGGUUUGCAUAGACCUGGGCACACGCCCAUCGCUGUCCCAGCCACAUCCCAGGAUUCCCAGGCCUUGCCCAGUCCUCUCAGUCACUUCCCCCACAGGGUAGGAGGUGAGGGACAUGGUCCCAGGGAGCUGGUUUAUUGGAGGCUGGCUCCUCUGAAGGAGGGGCCGGGUGUCUGUGGCCAAGGCAAGGGGCACGCACCUUGUCAUACCAGCACCGGAUGCUGAGCUGGCCGCACAGGCAGUUGGAGCUAGAGCAGUCGUCCACACACGUGCAGUGCUGGGGCGAGGAGGCAGAGGUGCCUUUGCUGGUUUGAAGCUUGUCCAACUGUACUUGGCAGCUCUCGGUGUCCUUUUGGGGAGGCCCCGGGCCCCCUACUCACCUGCAGGGCAGGGCUCCCCAUCCACACCGUUGACACAGGGAAUGGGCACGUUCUCAUAGCCCCGAGCCACGUCCCUGCAGAAGACGGGAAGAAGGGGCUGGGAAGCUGGAAAAGGGGGUGAGGAGCUACUCCAGGUAUAAGGAAGAGAGUUGGGGAGGUUCCUGGGGCUGGGGGCAGGGGAGUAAGGUUGCCAGGUAAGAUGCAGGACAGCGAGUUAACAUAGAAUUUUAGAUAAACAAGAAAUAGCUUUUUAGUAUGUCCCAAAAAUUACACAGGACAUUCUCACACUAAAAAAGUAUGCAUCUGUGCAUCUGAAAUUCCAGUUUAACUGGGUGUCUUCUAUUUUUAUUUGCUGUAUCUGGCAACCCUAGUGGGGAGGGGGCCUGUGGGUGGUUCUGGGGAUUCAGUGGUGCAUGGGGAGGGGUUGGGGAAUGUUGUGAGGAUGCAAUGGAGCCUGGGGAGGGUAUGGGUGGGGAGGAGGUGGUCUUGGGUGCAGAGAGGGGCCCAGGGCUCACCGGCAGAUGAUCUUCUCUGUGCGGAUGGCCCGAUUUCCCACCCCAAGUCGGAGCUUGCGGUUGAGUUGAAGCGCAAACCACACGUCGGAGCGCUCGG